GGAAUCUUCCACAAUGGGCGCAAGCCUGAUGGAGCAACACCGCGUGAGUGAAGAAGGGUUUCGGCUCGUAAAGCUCUGUUGUUAGAGAAGAACGUGCGUGAGAGUAACUGUUCAGACGUUGACGGUAUCCAACCAGAAAGCCACGGCUAACUACGUGCCAGCAGCCGCGGUAAUACGUAGGUGGCAAGCGUUAUCCGGAUUUAUUGGGCGUAAAGCGAGCGCAGGCGGUUUCUUAAGUCUGAUGUGAAAGCCUUCGGCUUAACCGAAGAAGUGCAUCGGAAACUGGGAAACUUGAGUGCAGAAGAGGACAGUGGAACUCCAUGUGUAGCGGUGAAAUGCGUAGAUAUAUGGAAGAACACCAGUGGCGAAGGCGGCUGUCUGGUCUGUAACUGACGCUGAGGCUCGAAAGCAUGGGUAGCGAACA
rnacentral:rRNA from 1 species